rnacentral:rRNA from 1 species
UCUACUUAACGCGUUACUCCGAAAGCCACGGCUCAAGGCCACAACCUCCAAGUAGACAUCGUUUACGGCGUGGACUACCAGGGUAUCUAAUCCUGUUUGCUCCCCACGCUUUCGCAUCUNANUGUCAGUNUCUGUCCAGGGGGCCGCCUUCGCCACUGGUAUUCCUUCAGAUCUCUACGCAUUUCACCGCUACACCUGAAAUUCUACCCCCCUCUACAGCACUCUAGUUCACCAGUUUCAAAUGCAGUUCCGAGGUUGAGCCCCGGGCUUUCACAUCUGACUUAAUGAACCACCUGCAUGCGCUUUACGCCCAGUAAUUCCGAUUAACGCUCGCACCCUCCGUAUUACCGCGGCUGCUGGCACGGAGUUAGCCGGUGCUUCUUCUGUUGCUAACGUCAAGAGAUAACGCUAUUAACUUUACCCCCUUCCUCACAACUGAAAGUACUUUACAACCCGAAGCCUUCUUCAUACACGCGGCAUGGCUGCAUCAGGCUUUCGCCCAUUGUGCAAUAUUCCCCACUGCUGCCUCCCGUAGAGGUCUGGACCGUGUCUCAGUUCAGUGUGGGCUGAUCAUCCUCUCAGACCA